UACGUAGGGGGCAAGCGUUGUUCGGAAUUACUGGGCGUAAAGGGCGCGUAGGCGGCACGGCAAGUCAGGAGUGAAAGCCCGGGGCUCAACCCCGGAAUGUCUUUUGAAACUGCCGAGCUAGAGUGCGGAAGAGGCAACUGGAAUUCCCAGUGUAGCGGUGAAAUGCGUAGAUAUUGGGAAGAACACCUGAGGCGAAGGCGGGUUGCUGGGCCGACACUGACGCUGAGGCGCGAAAGCGUGGGGAGCAAACAGG
rnacentral:rRNA from 1 species